GGUGUCCAAGGUCAUUUUAUUCAAAAUACUGUGCAUAGUAGUGUACCAUAUUUUGGAGUGGCAGUCCUUGGAUUUCUUCACCAUAUAGUUGAGAGACCAACUAGUGACAACAACCAAAGAAGGGGAAAAAAAAGAAACAGAACUACAGGACAUAUGAAACAAUGACUUAAAAAGAGGCAGUGACAUUCUCACCACCUGCCCUGUUGUCUCCUGAGGUAUCAGCAGCUGCUCCAAGGAGAACACUAUCUAUGUCAUACAUGGCAAUUGCUUGAAUGAUUUUCUACAGAGACUUGCUAUUUUUCCGUUGACAAGCAUCAUUCAUAAGGGCAGUGGCAUGUCAUAGUCGUCGGUUUUUCUUUGCUGUGGUCUGCUUUUAUGGAUAUGGAAAAGUAAAAUCAAUCUGUGAGAGGAACCACAUUCUUUGCUUCUACUUCCAGGCUUAUUAUCUUUAUUAAGUGACAUUCCCAUCCAUCAGGAGUUGAGUCUAAUCUAUGGGAGAAUAAGGGAGGACGACAGAAGGGCCUUAUGCAAUUGCCAAGACAACACGUUAGGAAAAAGGGCUUCAACUUCUUGUGCUCCAUCUGCUGCAGGUUCAUAUUGGCCUUCUAAUCUGGAUGUGCUCUCUGAAUCUCCACUGGAGGUG
rnacentral:lncRNA from 1 species